rnacentral:rRNA from 1 species
CGAUGAUACGCGAGGAACCUUACCCGGGCUCGAACGGUGCAGGAAUAUGGUAGAGAUAUCAUAGCUAGCAAUUAGUCUGUAUCGAGUGCUGCAUGGUUGUCGUCAGCUCGUGCCGUGAGGUGUCGGCUUAAGUGCCAUAACGAGCGCAACCCUUGUCGUUAGUUACCAUCAAGUAAAGUUGGGGACUCUAGCGAGACUGCCGCCGUAAGGUGUGAGGAAGGGGGGGAUGACGUCAAAUCAGCACGGCCCUUACGUCCGGGGCGACACACGUGUUACAAUGGUAGGUACAGAGGGCCGCUAUCCAGCGAUGGAAUGCUAAUCUCGAAAACCUAUCUCAGUUCGGAUCGGAGUCUGCAACUCGACUCCGUGAAGUUGGAUUCGCUAGUAAUCGCGCAUCAGCCAUGGCGCGGUGAAUACGUUCCCGGGCCUU